rnacentral:rRNA from 1 species
CCUACGGGAGGCAGCAGUAGGGAAUAUUGCACAAUGGGGGAAACCCUGAAGCAGCAACGCCGCGUGGAGGAUGAAGGUUUUCGGAUUGUAAACUCCUUUUAUUAGAGAAGAUAAUGACGGUAUCUGACGAAUAAGCACCGGCUAACUCCGUGCCAGCAGCCGCGGUAAUACGGAGGGUGCAAGCGUUACGCGGAAUCACUGGGCGUAAAGAGCGCGUAGGCGGGGUAGCAAGUCAGAUGUGAAAUCCUAGGGCUUAACCAUAGAACUGCAUUUGAAACUGUGAGUCUAGAGUGUGGGAGAGGCAGGUGGAAUUCUUGGUGUAGGGGUGAAAUGCGUAGAGAUCAAGAGGAAUACUCAUUGCGAAGGCGACCUGCUAGACCAUAACUGACGCUGAUGCGCGAAAGCGUGGGGAGCAAACAGGAUUAGAUACCCGGGUAGUC